UAAAAACAAUUUUUUAAAUAAAAUUAUAUAUAACUAAUAACAACAAAUAUCGAAUUACACAAUCAAUUAGCACCAAUGUACGUUACAAUCAUCUCCAAUGUCUCGCACCAAGUUUCAACUAUCAAUAUAACAAUAGAAAGUCUAAUAUCAAGUUUCUAGGAAGACAAAAUCUAAUAUCAACUCUCAAAAUCAAAUGUUCUUGAAGCCUCAAUUUUUCAAAAACUCAAUAUGGUCUUCUUUCCUCUUUGCAUCCAAGUUAGCUUUGAUCAUAUUACCUGCAAAACACAAUCAGCCCACUCCCUCCGCACUUCAUCAAUCUCCACACUAGAAUAACUUUUGCUAUUGAACUGUAAAGUAAUAGAUAUGCCUCAUAAGAAUAUGGCAAACCAUCAAAUAUGUUCAACAAGAUAUAAUUAUAAUAAUUACGUACCAAUAAUUGCAGCGAGCUAAUCCUCUCAAAAUUAGCAGACUCAAUAAUAUCUUUCAUAUAACAAGUAACAACACUAUAAAUAUUUUUGUGGGAAGGACAUGCGUCGCAUUCCCACUCUUUUCAUAGCUUGAUUGGUUCUUAUUUGAUACUCUUAAUAUAAUUCCAAAUAAAGGAAAAAAUAUAUCUAGAAUGCCUCUUGUUUGAUACUCUAAUAUAGUUCAAAAUUAGAUCAAAUACAUAUAGAGAUAGGAAUCACACUACCAAUUCAUCUAUAUUCUAGAUUUUGAUUAUUCUAAAUGCGCAAGUUCUUAAAACAAAGCCAGUACUUACAUAUCUAAAAUAUGGCGAUAGCAAAUUACAGAUGAAGAAGAAACCCAACGGAAUAUUUGUUACAUACAAGAUAAGUUUUACUCAUGUUUCACACAAUAAGAAGCUUCAACUUUAUAUUUGCAUCUGACGCAAAAAUUAGUUUCUAACCAGUGAAACGACACUCAUUUGCAUUGCGCAGCAAGUUUAUUAAUCUACACCAUAAUUACCCAAAUAGUAUAAAACACCAUGAAUUCGACAAAAAUUCAAACACAGAUAAAUUGCAGUAUAUCCAUAAUAUCAAAAUUAUAACAUGAAAAAUCCCUCAAAAACGACUAUUCAACAUAUAAAAACGACCUCAAACUUCAACCGGGUACCUUUAAUUACGAAUUCUAGUCAGAGUCUUAAGCAUAAUAUUCAUAAAACUAAGCACAGCAAUAUCACGCACAGAGAAAGAGAAAGAAAAUUGAAAUUACUCAGCAGGGGAAGACAUGAUGAAUCUAGAAAACGAGUUCGAUCGAAAUCAAGCUAAACAUAAAACUAACCUCAAGGAGCAGCGGCUAAGUCGAGAACAGACCGGAAGAGCAAUGCACGUGCUGCCGUACAGCAAGGUAAACCAGAGCAGCGUGGCGGCGACCGGAGAAAACUUCACAGCAGCGUCGUUUCUGGAGUACAGCAGCAGCUCAAAGCAGCGGCGAAGUAUGGCGCUAAGGGGAUCAGAAAAACACUCAGAGUAGCGUCGUUUUUCGUUGCUUGCUGACCGGCGGAGAUUGUGGCGGCGGCGGCGGCGAGGAAACCUACGAUUUUAUGAUUGGAGAGAGGCGACAGAGGACGUGGUUCGUGGCUGCGUUGACUGUUGAUACGACGGCGGCGGCGCAAGGAACGAGUGGCGUUGGUCGGGGUGAGUCGGCGCCGGAGAGAUCGUAGGCGGCAGAUUUGGGAAGAAGAAGAUAGGUGGCAGAUUUGGGAAGAAGGUGGUAGGCGCGGCGCAUUUGGGGUUAAUUAGGGCUAAUGUGUUUGAACGAUCAAACUGAAUUCUUCUCUUUUCAAUUUUUUCUUUUUUUUUAAAUUCUGAAUAAGCCUUUAAAACCGGUUUAAAAACGGUUUAAUAUGUUUAAUUAAAACCGGUGUCAUAAUGUAACUACGACACCGCAAUAAAGAAACCGGUAAUGAAAAACCGAUUUCUAUUAGCG
rnacentral:lncRNA from 1 species